rnacentral:rRNA from 1 species
AUUGAACGCUGGCGGCAUGCCUUACACAUGCAAGUCGAACGGUAACAGGUUAAGCUGACGAGCGGCGAACGGGUGUGUAAUGUAUCGGAACGUGCCCAGUCGUGGGGGAUAACUACUCGAAAGAGUGGCUAAUACCGCAUACGACCUGAGGGUGAAAGCGGGGGACCGUAAGGCCUCGCGCGAUUGGAGCGGCCGAUAUCAGAUUAGCUAGUUGGUGGGGUAAAAGCCGACCAAGGCGACGAUCUGUAGCUGGUCUGAGAGGACGACCAGCCACACUGGGGCUGAGACACGGCCCAGACUCCUACGGGAGGCAGCAGUGGGGAAUUUUGGACAAUGGACGCAAGUCUGAUCCAGCCAUGCCGCGUGCGGGAAGAAGGCCUUCGGGUUGUAAACCGCUUUUGUCAGGGAAGAAACGAGUUUCUCUAAUACAGAGACUUAAUGACGGUACCUGAAGAAUAAGCACCGGCUAACUACGUGCCAGCCGCCGCGGUAAUAC